GGCAGCCGACGGAGGCGCCGCAGGAGCGGCCCCAGGGCGAGCCCGCGGCCCUCUGCUGCUUCUCCCUCUUCCCCGCCGAGGGCGCAGCGGCGGGGUCCACGGCAGGAGGUGUCGCCUGGGCCAGCGGGUGCGAACAAGCCCACCCCUUUGCGCCUCUCCCGGCUGCGCUCUGGCACUUUCGACCUCAGCCGCCUCCCUCCAUCGCCACCAACAGGUGCGGCCUGCCCUGCGGAGAGGCCAUGUCCCCCGGAGCCGGGGGCCCGCUGGGUGCCCGCCGCCCUCUCACCUCGUGUCGCCGACAGACGUGUCCCUGGCCUGCCCCUCACCAGACUCCAGAUGUCGUCCAGCUUAAACGAUUAGUGGCGGUUUGAGGGCUGAUCCCCAACCUGGGCCCGCUUUGCGGGUGGGGGAGGGGAGAGGGCGGAAUCACUCUUAAUCUCGACUCACGGCUAAAUAAUUUACUCAAGGUUUUCUCUUCCUGCCAAUUCCCUUCCCUGCACCCCUGCCCUUGGCUUCCUGCUUUGUGAAGCCCCAGGGAGAGAAGGGCCAAGUCUUAAUAAAAGUUAAUAUUAAUAAGUGGUGGAGGCCGCGGCAGGUGCUUCUCCAGACCUCAUCUCCCCCUCUCGCCCCCCCUCCUCCAAGCCCGGCCCCCUCCUCUGGGCUUCCUUUGAAUAUUGGAGAUGGGCCUUGCGCUUGGGGGGACCAUUUCAGAAAUGAGGGUGCUGGAGUGAGAAGCCUCGGUCCACGUGUUCCGUAAACCACAUCCUCCUGCAGUUGCCGUGAGCGCGGAAGGUGGCAAAGGUCGGGCGUGCACACGGUGCGCGGGUGCCGCUGCAGAGCACGGAGUCAGAUAAGCGCGCAGGGGGAGUCGGCAGGUUGGACAGAAAAGAUAUGCGCAGAAAGGGGACGGGCUGAGCAAACUCGCGGGAGGGGGGGGUUGUGUUGGGGGAGGGGCACAAAAGUAAAAAAAGCAACAAACCAAUACUGUAAAAAGAAUACCUAGUAACGCCAAGGACCUGUUGCCAAGGACCUGUUUUCCUAACGCGGGGGCAAAGGACUCAAAGAGGCGCUGGGAAAACAGCAUUAAGAUCACAGAUAAAAAUCCUUGUUCUUGGGAAGCUUACAUUUUAGUGGGUAGAGACCGAAAAGAAACACAUUUAUUCAGCUGCUUUUCUACUACUGAUGGAUUUUCACGUUGCUGUCAGAAUUUUGCUAUCAUAAGUGGUCCAAAGAUGAAGAGACCGAAGUGCAAGAGGUGAAGUAAAUGGCCCAAGUUUACACAGCAACUGGGAAGGAGCCACUGAAGCAGAGCCAAGGAAGAAGAGCUGUCCGGGCAGAAGAAUUCACGUGAAGCCUCAGGGGGACAGUGGCAGGCUGACCAAUGGCCCCAGACAUCGCCUGGUCCUCAUCCUGGAGCCUGUGGAUGUUGCCCUGCGGGGCGAAGGGACUUUGCAGAUGGGGAAGUUCAUCCCGGAUCAUCCGGUGGGCCCAGUGCCAUCCCGGGGGUGCUAUACGCGGGGGGAAGGAGGGAGAUUUGGCAUCACGUACGUGAGGCCUGUGGAAGCAGAGGUCGCUGUGGUGGGUGGAAGGGCAGGAACCAAGGAGUGCAGGCCCUGCGACAGUUUAGACCUCGACCUUAGAAGUGUAAGACGAUACACUUGUGGCGUUCAAAGCCACUGAGUUGCUAGUAAUUUAACGGCAGCGAUCGGAGCCACCCGUGUGUCUUUUCUCCGUGCUCUUUCUGGCCUCCAGUUCUCCUUCCUGGCUCUUCUCUCUGCAGAGAACUCCCUCCCCUGGUCCCCUCUCUCCAGCUCGCCUCCUUCAAACUCUGCUAAGAUUCCCCGGAAUCCCCCAGGCUUGGUGUCCCCUUCCUCUGUAUUCCUUGAACACUUCGCAUAAAUCUGUGUCCGGGCACUAAUCACACUAUAUCAUAAUGUGCCCUUUCACUAGUCUGAUUCUUGCUUUUGAUUUGAUGUUGGACCUCUUGAGAGAAGGGAUCCCAUAUUUUGCCUUUUUCUAUCCCCAGUAGUUGGCGCAGGGUCUGGUAAAACUGUAAGCAGUUCAUCCAACUUU